CAGCAGCCGCGGUAACACGAGGGGGGCAAGCGUUGUUCGGAUUUAUUGGGCGUAAGGGGUGCGUAGACGGUGUGAUAAGUCUGUUGUUAAAUUCCUCGGCUCAACCGAGGACCUGCAAUGGAAACUAUCUCGCUAGAGGAUGGAAGAGAGAAGUGGAAUUCUUGGAGUAGCGGUAAAAUGCGUAGAUCUCAAGAGGAACACCAAUGGCGAAGGCAGCUUCUUGGUCCACUCCUGACGUUGAGGCACGAAAGCGUGGGGAGCAAACAGGAUUAGAUACCCCGGUAGUCCCUGUCUCUUAUAC
rnacentral:rRNA from 1 species